rnacentral:rRNA from 1 species
UACGGGGGGGGCGAAGCGUUGUUCGGAAUUACUGGGCGUAAAGGGCGCGUAGGCGGUUGGAUAAGUCAGCUGUGAAAACCACGGGCUUAACUCGUGGCCUGCAGUUGAGACUGUCUGGCUUGAGUGUGGGAGAGGAGAGUGGAAUUCCUGGUGUAGCGGUGAAAUGCGUAGAUAUCGGGAGGAACACCAGUGGCGAAGGCGACUUCCUGGCCUGUUCUUGACGCUGAGGCGCGAAAGCUAGGGGAGCAAACAGG